UGGGGAAUUUUGCACAAGGGGGGAAACCCUGAUGCAGCGACGCCGCGUGAUUUAGAAGGCCUUCGGGUUGUAAAAAUCUUUUUUACGGGAUGAAAAUGACAGUACCGUAAGAAUAAGGUCCGGCUAAAUACGUGCCAGCAGCCGCGGUAAUACGUAUGGACCGAGCGUUGUCCGGAAUCAUUGGGCGUAAAGGGUACGUAGGCGGCCUAGUAAGUUAGAAGUGAAAUAAUAUAGCUCAACUAUAUAAAGCUUUUAAAACUGCUAGGCUUGAGAGAUGGAAGGGAAAGUUGAAUUCCUAGUGUAGCGGUGAAAUGCGCAGAUAUUAGGAAGGAUAACGGUAGCGAAGGCGACUUUCUGGUCAUCAUCUGACGCUGAGGUACGAAAGCGUGGGUAGCAAACAGG
rnacentral:rRNA from 1 species